rnacentral:tRNA from 1 species
GCGCCCUUAGCUCAGCUGGUAGAGCAACUGACUCUUAAUCAGUGGGUCGAAGGUUCGAAUCCUUCAGGGCGCA